rnacentral:tRNA from 1 species
AGUUAAUGAACUUGAAAAAGUAUAUACUUUGAAAGUAUAAGAAAAGUGUACAACCACUUAUUAACUU